rnacentral:lncRNA from 1 species
GAUCAAGAACCGACCAAUUCCAGACACAGUAGUACGGCAAGGCCCGCCUGAGCUUGUCGUAAUUCACGUUGGUCUUGUUCUUGCGUCGCCCCCACGGCUAGGCCACCUUCCUCUGCAACCACCACCAUCCCAUGAAGUCCAGGAGCUGUGGCCGUUGCCUUGCUCUCAGCUGCAGCAGAAAGUGCCAGAGCGUCACAGGGUGGACUGACAAAGAUUCUCUGCUUGGCCAAACUACAGUCGGGCUCUGGAACCUUCUCCUAGGCCAGCCUGCACUUCCUUGAGGCGCCAGCAGCCAGCGUGCGGAGUUAAGUGCCUGUGCCCUUUGUAUGAAAGUGUCACCGUUGUCCUGGUCUUGAGGGGUGGCUUUCGGGUGUAAACGGCCGGCAGAGGUGAGUAGAUGCUGGGAGGCUGCUCCAGGCGUCUUGUUUGCUCCAGGGUUCUUGAGACUCUCCUGUCUAUGAGAACGUGCAGUGGCACGGGACGGCCGCCGGGGGGCUCCCGAGUCCGGCUCUGGAGUCUGUGGCCGCGCGAGUGCACCUGCCUGGGCCGGCCCUGACGGAUUUUUUUUUUUU